AAAGUACUACCUCCAUCCGGAAAUACUUGUCAUCAAAAUGAACAAAAGGAGAUGUAUCUAGAUGUAUAUUAGUUCUAGAUACAUCCAUUUUUAUCCAUUUUGAUGACAAGUAUUUUCGGACGGAGGGAGUAUACU
rnacentral:pre_miRNA from 1 species